rnacentral:lncRNA from 1 species
AUGAAAUGCAAAGAAUUUACAUAUAUUUAAUAUUUUAUAAAAUGGCCAGUAUUUUAUAUUGAAGAUUAUCGAUAUAAACCGUAACACACAAUGGCGGCUCCCUGGCACUUCUUAUUUCCUUAUAUUGAUAGGAGACUAAGAACCAGUAAAAUGAAGGAGAGAAAGACGGUUUGACAAAACAGUGCUUACUAGUAGAUAUGUCAGAUACACAGCAGUGGAAAUGUAAGAGAUUAAGGUACAAAUACAGGUUGUGCUUAUAGUCGUCUAAUGAGCCUCUUCCACUGCUGUUGCCAAACGUCUGACUGCGAUGACAGCAUCCCUGCGGAGCUCAUUGGCAGUAUCUUGCUGAGCACUGGCCUCCUCACCAAUAGCAAUCAGCCUGUCCAGUUUUUCUUCCUCCCGCUUUGAGAGUUCUCGUGCCAAUCGCCUGUUUUCUGCCAACUCGGCUGCGAUAGUCCUGGCCACUG